rnacentral:rRNA from 1 species
UAAAACGUAGGACACGAGCGUUAUCCGGAGUUACUGGGCGUAAAGGGCGUUUAGGCGGGUGACUAAGUUCGCUAUGAAAGCGCCGGGCUAAACCCGGCGAGGCUGGCGGAUACUGGUGAUCUGGAGUGAGGUAGAGGGAAGUAGAAUUCCGCGUGUAGUGGUGAAAUGCGUAGAGAUGCGGAGGAAUACCAGUGGCGAAGGCGACUUCCUGGACCUUAACUGACGCUGAAGCGCGAAAGCAUGGGGAGCGAACGGGAUUAGAAACCCCGGUAGUCCAUGCCGUAAACGAUGUGCACUAAACGUUCGGUUUCCGCGAGGGAGCUGGGUGUUGAAGCUAACGCGGUAAGUGCACCGCCUGGGGAGUACGGUCGCAAGGCUA